rnacentral:misc_RNA from 1 species
GUGAAUCAUCGAAUCUUUGAACGCACCUUGCGCUCCUUGGUAUUCCGAGGAGCAUGCCUGUUUGAGUGUCAUGAAAUCUUCAACUUACGAGCUUCUUGCGAGGUUUGUAGGGUUGGACUUGGAGGCUUGUCGGUCUUUAAAGGUCGGCUCCUCUUAAAUGCAUUAGCUUGGUUCCUUGCGGAUCGGGUUGUCGGUGUGAUAAUGUCUACGCCGCGACCGUGAAGCGUUUGGCAAGCUUCUAACCGUCUCGGUAUAGAGACAAGUUUUAUGACCUCUGACCUCAAAUCAGGUAGGACUACC